CUUCAUUUGCAUGUCCAUAGACAUAGCUGGUUGCAGAGUUUUCUUGCUUCACAUCCAAAACAGCACAGGCACUUGAAGCUUGAUGAUGUAACAUUUGCUCCUCCCAAUUUUCCAACUUCUUAGCCUGAAAAUAUCUCAUAUUUCCCUUAUUAUCUUCAUCCACCAAUCCACCCAUAAGGAGUUGGCUCCAUGAUUCUGGAAGUUGAUCUUGAUUAUCAUGCCAAGAAGGAAUAGUAAGUGA
rnacentral:misc_RNA from 1 species